UGGGGAAUUUUGGACAAUGGGCGGCAAGCCUGAUCCAGCAAUGCCGCGUGUGUGAAGAAGGCCUUCGGGUUGUGAAGCACUUUUGUCCGGAAAGAAAACGCCGUGGUUAAUACCCGUGGCGGAUGACGGUACCGGAAGAAUAAGCACCGGCUAACUACGUGCCAGCAGCCGCGGUAAUACGUAGGGUGCAAGCGUUAAUCGGAAUUACUGGGCGUAAAGCGUGCGCAGGCGGUCCGCUAAGACAGAUGUGAAAUCCCCGGGCUUAACCUGGGAACUGCAUUUGUGACUGGCGGGCUAGAGUAUGGCAGAGGGGGGUAGAAUUCCACGUGUAGCAGUGAAAUGCGUAGAGAUGUGGAGGAAUACCGAUGGCGAAGGCAGCCCCCUGGGCCAAUACUGACGCUCAUGCACGAAAGCGUGGGGAGCAAACAGGAUUAGAUACCCCGGUAGUCCUAGCUGUAAACGAUGAGUGCUGGGUGUAGGGGGUGUUAACCCCCCCUGUGCCGAAGCUAACGCAUUAAGCACUCCGCCUGGGGAGUACGGUUCGCAAGGCUG
rnacentral:rRNA from 1 species